rnacentral:rRNA from 1 species
GCUUUAUAAUUUUAUAUUAUAGUUUAUAAAGAAUUGUUUAAAUUUUAUUAAAAAAAUUAUUUUGUUGGGGCGACAAUAAAAUUUAUUAAACUUUUAUUAUUUUAUUACAUUGAUUUAUGAAUUAUUGAUCCAGUUUUAUUGAUUAAAAGAUUAAGU